rnacentral:rRNA from 1 species
GACGAACGCUGGCGGCGUGCCUAAUACAUGCAAGUAGAACGCUGAAGGAGGAGCUUGCUUCUCUGGAUGAGUUGCGAACGGGUGAGUAACGCGUAGGUAACCUGCCUGGUAGCGGGGGAUAACUAUUGGAAACGAUAGCUAAUACCGCAUAAUAGUAGAUGUUGCAUGACAUUUGCUUAAAAGGUGCAAUUGCAUCACUACCAGAUGGACCUGCGUUGUAUUAGCUAGUUGGUGAGGUAACGGCUCACCAAGGCAACGAUACAUAGCCGACCUGAGAGGGUGAUCGGCCACACUGGGACUGAGACACGGCCCAGACUCCUACGGGAGGCAGCAGUAGGGAAUCUUCGGCAAUGGACGGAAGUCUGACCGAGCAACGCCGCGUGAGUGAAGAAGGUUUUCGGAUCGUAAAGCUCUGUUGUAAGAGAAGAACAAGUGUGAGAGUGGAAAGUUCACACUGUGACGGUAUCUUACCAGAAAGGGACGGCUAACUACGUG